UCGUAGUCCACAAAUGCGAGACACAGA
rnacentral:sRNA from 1 species